ensembl:lncRNA
GUUACGUUACACAUUUUGAGUUUGUAUUAGGCACUUUAGAGCCCCCUGCAGGCCAUUACUUGUAUUCAGUUCUUUCGUAGAUUCUUAAUAUUGCGUUCAUUCUCAUUGGCUGAUAAGAGUCACGUUGUUAGUCACGUGAUUUCAGACGUGAUCUGUCAUUAUUUCGGCAGCCAUUUUGAUCUGUCAUUUGAGCCAGAGAUCCACACGGUGAAACAUCUUUUUUAUCUCACGUCAUUCAUCCGUGUAAGCCUUGGAGAAGCUUUGUUUUUUCACACUUCUAAACCUGCAACAACUUGUUCAACA